rnacentral:misc_RNA from 1 species
GUAGGUGAACCUGCGGAAGGAUCAUUAACACGUGUCCCACGUAUCAAACCAAAACCGUGAACUGUGAACGUAUAUCCGGGAUAAGCUAGAUGGCGUGGGCAGUAAAGUCCAGGGAUGAGCUUACUUUCGGGUGAGCUGUACUCUGGGUUCCCCAGUUAACCAAAACCAUUAUUCACUAUUAUUAUCGUCUUAAGGACUGUGGUGCUGACUGAGAGGAUCGCGAAGUAGCUAGCUCUUCGGGGCCGGUCAA